AGAACGAACGCUGGCGGCAUGCCUAAUACAUGCAAGUCGAACGAACUCUUCGGAGUUAGUGGCGCACGGGUGCGUAACGCGUGGGAAUCUGCCCUUGGGUUCGGAAUAACAGUUGGAAACGACUGCUAAUACCGGAUGAUGACGAAAGUCCAAAGAUUUAUCGCCCAGGGAUGAGCCCGCGUAGGGUUAGCUAGUUGGUGAGGUAAAGGCUCACCAAGGCGACGAUCCUUAGCUGGUCUGAGAGGAUGAUCAGCCACACUGGGACUG
rnacentral:rRNA from 1 species